AUUGAACGCUGGCGGCAUGCUUUACACAUGCAAGUCGAACGGCAGCACGGGUGCUUGCACCUGGUGGCGAGUGGCGGACGGGUGAGUAAUGCAUCGGAACGUGUCCUAAAGUGGGGGAUAACGCAUCGAAAGAUGUGCUAAUACCGCAUAUUCUCUGAGGAGGAAAGUAGGGGAUCGAAAGACCUUAUGCUUUUGGAGCGGCCGAUGUCUGAUUAGCUAGUUGGUAAGGUAAUGGCUUACCAAGGCGACGAUCAGUAGUUGGUCUGAGAGGACGACCAGCCACACUGGGACUGAGACACGGCCCAGACUCCUACGGGAGGCAGCAGUGGGGAAUUUUGGACAAUGGGCGCAAGCCUGAUCCAGCCAUGCCGCGUGAGUGAAGAAGGCCUCGGUUGUAAGACUCUUCUAGCGGAGAAACGACAUGGUAAGUACCUACGUGUGGAUGACGGUACCGGAAGUAAGAAGACACCGGC
rnacentral:rRNA from 1 species